GAUGAACGCUAGCUACAGGCUUAACACAUGCAAGUCGAGGGGCAGCAUGUUGGUUGCUUGCAACCAAUGAUGGCGACCGGCGCACGGGUGCGUAACGCGUAUCGGACCUGCCCUAUACUCAUGGAUAGCCUUGCGAAAGUAAGAUUAAUACCUGAUGUUGUUAUUUAUUCGCAUGUUUGAAUAACGAAAGAUUUAUUGGUAUAGGAUGGCGAUGCGUGGCAUUAGGUAGUAGGCGGGGUAACGGCCCACCUAGCCGACGAUGCCUAGGGGUUCUGAGAGGAAGGUCCCCCACACUGGAACUGAGACACGGUCCAGACUCCUACGGGAGGCAGCAGUGAGGAAUAUUGGUCAAUGGACGAUAGUCUGAACCAGCCAAGUAGCGUGCAGGAUGACGGCCCUCUGGGUUGUAAACUGCUUUUAGUUGGGAAUAAAAAGAGGGACGUGUCCCUUAUUGUAUGUACCAUCAGAAAAAGGACCGGCUAAUUCCGUGCCAGCAGCCGCAGUAACAC
rnacentral:rRNA from 1 species